CUCCUUGUUCUUCGUUUGUCAGUUCCACAUAUCGACUACCGCCGCAGCCGUCAAACUAUACUAGAUGGCCACUGCUCUAGCGUCUGCGAUUGAUGAAUUCUGGCCUCCCGAUAUGUCAAAAUCAUCGGCUGUUGAAGAACGAUCGUUGACUGUUCAAAGGAUUUCGGAAGACAAUCUCGUUUCAGGUACUCCAAGUGCCCUACAACCCUGAUGAUGCUUAUACGGUGGUGUUGUGGUGGCUAGCUACAGUGGGUCUUCUACAAUUGUGCAGUUCUGGGAUGAGUCACGGUGUGCUCAUAAUUCGUAUUUUUUGAAAAUCUCAAUCAACUUCAUCAAACCCGAAACCGGACAAAGCAUCAAGACAGAUGGAUAAGAAAUUUGUGAAGAAUCAGGAUUCCAAGAAAGUACCUGUAGGUCCUAAAGGCCAGCCAUCAAAAAGGAACAACAGAAAAGGGGAAAAGCCUAUGCGAAUCCCACAAAUCACAGAGCCAUGUUCUGGUUCUAGACUCCCAAUUAUAUCGAUCUGCAGGAACGCUGCAUGUAAAGGUGUCAAGAGUCUCCUACCUUGCUGUACAGUUCUUGGAGGAGUCUCCUAAGCAGAAACGCACAACUGAUCACAACUGUUGUUACGGCGAUUUUUCUAAGCUUUAGUUUAUUAACAAGCACAUAAAUGAAUCUGCAAGAUUAUAAAUAAAUGUUGUAGUUAUCUUAAAUCCUUUUAUGAUAGAUUUCUAAAUGUUUGUGGUAAAUGAUGAAAAAUUGUAUUUAUCUAAUCCUUUCAAACUUGUUAUUAGUGAUU